GGGAGGUUAGGUGUGAGCUGUUGCUUGGGGACUGGUUGGGUGACAGCUAGUGGUGUUGAGGUGUUGUGUUGGUAGCAGAGCAUCAGUUGGUUAAUCCACAAGAAUCCACAUAGUUGUGGAGGAUUAAGAGAAGAAUACUUAUCCUGUAUCCAGUCAAUACUUUUGCAGUUCUAAAUUAGACUCCUGCAGUACACUCACCCUGAGACCAUAACGACAAGCAAACUACAGAAAAGUGCCAUUAAUUCAUGCAAGGGAGCUGACCUAAGCUGGCCAAAGGGAUAUUCCAUAGCACAUGACAUCAUGUGGAAAAAAAGCCAUAAAACUGAAGAGUGUUGAUUGAGGAAGCCGCCACUGCUCAAGGACUGGCUGGGCAUUGGUCAGAGGAUGCUGAGAUGAAUUAGUGAAAGGCUGCGAGGGUGUUGUCUAGGAUUAAGCCACCACGGGCAUGAAUCCUAAUACGUGAGGAAGAAAUUAAAGAGCAUAAAAGCAGGCACUGUUGUGUAUUGUAUAACCUGUUUAUAAUAUGUUUCUUUGUUUAAAGAAAAAAAUUUAGUUGUUGGAUACAUUUAGAAUCUUAGUGUUAAGUUGUCACUGAAACAGGAAAUACUGGUUUUCUUUUAAAGUCUGCAUCUCUUGAAAUAUGUAACAUUUCUAGGAACAUCUGCAAAAAAAUUAGGAUAUUGUAGCUGAUUUCUUUCUAGUCAUAGUCACAUUCAGAUCAUAAGAUUGUAUUAAUUUCACCAAGAAGGCAUGCAAAGAAGAAUUUUGCUUUCUCUUAAAACAAAAACCUACCUAAAUGAUCUAGUCUUACUUGAGAUGUGGGUUUAAAUUUGUAAAUCAUUGUUCCUUUGAAGUGUACAUUUGCUAGAUCUAAGCUUAUAUCUGCUUUUCAUAAGCAUAACUCUUGACCUCACUUGCUACUCCCUCCAUUACUAUCCACUUUCCUAAAAGAUCACAAAUGCUCUUUCAAAAUGCAUGACUGUUUCUGAAAGCAUACAGCAUCUGAUAGGCCAGGAUUGAGUUAAUGGUGAGCAAAAUUAGUAGAUGUAAUUGAGUCUUACUUAAUUGAGUUACAUCCUUGGGAAUACCAUUUAACCAAAUUUAUUCUGUUCAUUCUGGGGAGAAAAAAAAAAAAAAAGAGAAAAGAAUAAAGAACGAAA